rnacentral:rRNA from 1 species
UACGGGGGGGGGCAAGCGUUGUUCGGAAUUACUGGGCGUAAAGGGCUCGUAGGCGGCCAACUAAGUCAGACGUGAAAUCCCUCGGCUUAACCGGGGGAACUGCGUCUGAUACUGGUUGGCUUGAAUCCGGGAGAGGGAUGUGGAAUUCCAGGUGUAGCGGUGAAAUGCGUAGAUAUCUGGAGGAACACCGGUGGCGAAGGCGGCAUCCUGGACCGGUAUUGACGCUGAGGAGCGAAAGCCAGGGGAGCAAAGCGGG